rnacentral:rRNA from 1 species
UACAGAGGGGGCAAGCGUUGUUCGGAAUUACUGGGCGUAAAGGGCGCGUAGGCGGCCUGUUAAGUCGAACGUGAAAUCCCCGGGCUCAACCCGGGAACUGCGUCCGAUACUGGCAGGCUUGAAUCCGGGAGAGGGGUGCGGAAUUCCAGGUGUAGCGGUGAAAUGCGUAGAUAUCUGGAGGAACGCCCGUGGCGAAAGCGCGGUCCUGGACGCCUGCUGACGCUGAGACGCGAAAGCCAGGGGAGCGAACGGG